rnacentral:lncRNA from 1 species
GGGGUCACUAUUGUGGAGGGAGCAGGGACUUUAGUCCCUUAUAAGGCUUCAAAACCCUCCAGACCAUUGCAAGGCACCUUUUGGCCCACGAAAUGUGGCCCCGAGGGACAAAGCCGUACGGAGAUCCCAUGAGGACGCCCAAAGCGGACAAUAUCUCGCAGGCAGGUGGGGCCGCCUUACACCUAUGUAGCUACGGGCGCGUUCCAGUAGCCGAUUUGACCUUAUGAGCCUGGCU